rnacentral:lncRNA from 1 species
GACUCUCCCAGCCCCAGCAUCCAGGGUGGUGGGACAUUAUCAGUGCUCAGCAUGGAUGCCCUGACCCUGCUGAGUGAAUAUUCUGGAACCUGGGCUCUUUAGUUCUUUCUGCUGGCUUCUUUCCUAUCUGUUCAGUGAUCAGAGAUGAAUAUUUUAGGGGAAAGUUGACAUUUUUAAAAGUUGGUUUUUCCCCACCCAGCCUUAGCUUCCUGACUCAAAGCAUUCUUUUAUGUCAACACCAUUGUCUGCUUGUCAGAGGACAAAACCCACUCAAGCCCGUCUCCCACCUUGGUCAGGCAGGGAUAUUUGCUGUAGAAACUAUAUUAAUCUCCCUUUCCCCUUCUGUAAGUGUGGCCCCUGAUCAUUGUAAAAACUUUAGAAACAUUAAAAAGACCAAAGGAGGUAAAUAAAAAUUUUCCACAUUUUA